GCCCUCGUGGCCUAAUGGAUAAGGCAUCGGUCUCUUAAGCCGGGGAUUGCGGGUUCGAAUCCCGCCAAGGGUA
rnacentral:tRNA from 1 species